CAGCAUCCUCCUGGAGGAAUUGGCUGCGUGUGGCUUCGGAAGGUGCACUCUUCACAUGGUUCCCUGUGGAACAGAAGAGCAAAAGUACAUAAUCAGAAAAUUGUAGCAGCUGCACUCUCUCCUGCUUAAUUUGCCUCUGGAAAGAGACCGUGGGUACAAGAGAUGUACAUUACAAUACAUGCUUCAGAUGAUCCUCCAUAACCACUACCCCUUACUGUUCAGCAGAGUUCUGUUCUUCAAAGAACAACAGCAGUGAACUAUUUUAUCUCAGCAGCAACAUGCUCUCAACCCAGCAGCUGCAUCUGGAUUCUUUAAUGAGGAGCACUGGGAAAGUUGCAGGUGAUAUCAAUCUAAUGAACUUCCAGAGGAGAAACUCUACAGCUCUCCAGCUGACCACCUCCAACACUGACAGUGCUCUUUUCCUAAGUGACACUACUGCUCUUUUAAGGGACACUACUGCAUUUCCAAAGUGGAUACGGCAGCUUUUCUCCUUUUCUUCUGUUUUCUCUAGCUGUCUGUCUGUAUUCUAGUGCCAGGUAUUCAGCAAUAGUGCCUUAGAAAUGACCAAGUUGCACAAACUGUGGAGGGACAGAAAAACAAAAGCAUCUCACCUAUCACUUUUGGAAGCAUGGUUUGCUUUUGCUGACAUCUCAGCUCUGGGCUUUUGUAUCAUGCUCAGUAUGGUAUUGCUUCACUAGGUGCCAUUCCUUCUCCUUGCCAGAGAUGUGUAAGCUCAUUUUUCAUGUUUUAGGCAGAUUUUUUUUUUUCUGCUAGGAAUGUUCCUAUAACUUUCUCUGGUAGGAUUGUGCUGAUUCAAUAUUUACCUUGUAUAGGCAAUCUUUCCCUCCUUUCCCUCUCUUCCCUCCACUCCCUUAUUCCUUCCUGCAGCAGACUUUCCAAGGUCUGUCCUGCACUGGCUACUGCUUUCCACUUUGCCAAGAGGGUGAACAAUUCUUCUUUUUUCCAUAGUCUCUCUAGCUGUUAACUUCCCAUUCCUCUCAUCAUGCUUUAGGUCUCACAAAAGCUGUACCAAACUGCCUUUCAUGACUGAAUAGGUCUUGACAAGCUGCGCUCAAACUACUCCUGCACCUGUGAAUUAGAAACUCCACACUUUAAUAAUAGAAAAACAUUACAAAUCUGUGGAAAAUAAUGGGAAUUUAUGGUUCAAACUUUGAAAUUUGCUGUUGAUGUGAAGUUCUUCACAGAUUCAGUGGCAAAUUUGAUUGGGUUUGAAUUCAGCUUAGUGAUGAAAGAUGCAAGAGUUUUCAGCAAUCUCUUCCAAGCUCUUCUGCUUUCAUCUCUCAGGACACAGGAAAAAUUCCACUAUGUUGCACAUUUUUUCUCGAGGACUUUUUUUAAUACAUCACAAAAAUUAUCUGAAUGUGUGGUCCUGCUAUUGCUGGCUAUAUCCCAUCAUAAGUAUUCAUGGAAUAUUUGAAGCCACUUAGACAUGAGCCGUAAAACUCAGACAGAAAGACAGGUAUUUUAUAGACACAGUGCUCUUUAAAAAGUCUGUAUUGUCUUGCAGCAUCCCAUAAAACAUCAGUUGUGGAUGUUUAUUUUUAAAAAAAUUAAGAUGAUAAAUCAAAUGAAUUAAAGCUGUGCUUUUUCCAGUAAAAUAAUCAGUGAACAUUAACAGUAUAAGCAUGCUGUAAAUUAUGAGGCAUCAUUAAAUUUCUUAACAAUUGAGUGUUUUUGGGUUGAAAAGAGUCACAGAAGUGAGCAUGAAUUAUAAAGCUAUAAGGAAAUAAGCUUCUGUGUUUGAUUUCACACCAUACUUACAUUUACAAUUUAUAUAUUUUUUUUAGUUUCAAUUUAACUUGCUGUGAAUAUGUUGUAUUGCAUAGACAUUAAAUCUAAAAUACAUGAAAACUUCUUUGCUUUCUGACAAAUAUAUGGUUACUAUGAAUUAAACACAUUUCAUUGAAGGGAAGAAGUUAAAAGUCUGGGUGACAAGAUAUUGUAAUAGAUGUUAAUUAACUUGCUCCUCCACAUUGUUUAAUGCCAAGAAAACAUAUUUUUCUGAAUCAAAGUAUCUAUAUUUGAGUGUGUGUGUUAUCACGAAAACUCAUGUAUAACAAUGGAACUGUCAAGGCAGCUGAUUUACAUUCCAGAUUUUAAAUAUCUCUCUGCAAAGGACAACAUAGAAUUUCUAUAUCUCUUUAUAUUUAAGAAAAAUUAUAAAGACAUGAAUGCUGAUAUGCUUUCUCUUGUCACCAUGUGACUGCAUAAUUCUGCUGAGAGAUGAAAUGUGCAGAAGCCUGUAUUCACUGUAUACUUACCCAGUUCCUCUUGGUUGCACUGGUCAAGCUCUGGGAUUCCUAUCAUUUUAGUUGCAGAGUGGGUUUUAGGGAUACCAAGUUCCCCUUAAGUGUGAACCUUCCUGUGAAUGUGUAUGUUACUGAAAUUCUGAGUUUCCUCCUGCUGAAGCACACAGCAAGGCUCAGGAUGUCCCAGAUAAGAAACCUGGUAAAGACCAGGUUUCUUACAAAUGGUCUGCAACCUGGUUAGAACAACCUUGUUAUACUUCUAAAUAGGUAACUCAUUCUAACGAUUCUAAACAGGUAACUCAUCUUGUCUCUUCUCUCCAGGAGAUGAGCAGUGAUGUGAACAUUUUGGAUCAAAAGCAAUGCUUCAAAUAUUCAUUCUCUCAAUGCAUGGAAAUAAUAUUUUUUUGCUGGUCUGAUAAUUUCCAGAAGGUUAAUAAACAUCUGUGUUCUUUG